CCACGACGCCUGAGAUACCAAAUCCCGUCUCGAGGCAAACAACCAGUGGAGUAGGAGGACCCCUCCGGCCUCUCUUAUCCGUUAACCGAUGCUCUCCCGUGUUCUCGGCUUCUCGCUUCGUGGCGUGUGUACGGCAAUCGACACGAACGGUGAUUCGAUCCUUCACACGACGCUGCGUGGCUCCGCUCACUUCUCCGAACCCUUUGAGGCAGUCAUGGCUGCUUUCCAGCUCGCCAGACCGGGCUUCUCGCUGGCGCUCCGUCUACGGCGGUCCUUCCCGCCUCACCGCCGCUCGGCCCGCUCCUCCGCCGUCUUUCUCCGCUGCCGCAUGCAGGAGGACGGCGGCGAGUCCAAAGGGGAUGUGCAGCCGGAGUCGUUGUUCAUGAAGGAGCUCAAGCGAAGGGGUUUGGAUCCCACCACGCUGUUGGAGGAGGGUGAUGGGGGUGCGUCGAUCGGACCGUUGGAGUCGAAGGAAGAGAGCAGCGGUGGCGAGGGGAACGGUGGGUCGACGAAGAGGAAUGGUGUGGCGUCGGCGGAGCUCGAAAAAAAGCUGUCGGAUCAAAGAGAACUGUCCAUGUCUCUGAACAGCGAGGGCCUCGAGGGAUUAAUUCCAAGGGCUAAAGUGCUUCUAACUAUUGGUGGAACAUUCUUUCUAGGCUUUGGGCCUGUGAUGCUUGUCAUAUUUGCGCUUUUUCUUGCUCUGUACAUUUAUUUAGGGCCAAGCUUCGUCCAUGAUGCCAGCAACAGAGCGCCUGUAUCGUCACCACCGCACGUAGAUCCAUAUGCACUGCUAGAGGAAGAAAGCCUCUCUCAGGUGGCUCCGAAUCUGUACUGACUUCCUCUCACAUUUCAGACCAAGUUCUAUUAUACCUGCCUUGUUCAUAGGUCCCCUUUAAAUGGGGGAUUAUCUAAAGAUUGCCCCCUUGUAAAUCUUGAACUUUGGCUGACGAGACAAAUCUUGAAACCGUAUUUAUACCAAUCAAAGAUGGCUGCUCUCAUCUUCAGCACUGCAGUACAAACAUCAAUGACGUGGAAUACUCUUACUAUUUAGAUGACUGAAUGGGAUAUUCCAAAUCAGGUAAUAUAAUAUUUGCUUGAACCAUAGGCUGGACAAUAUUUUAGAC